rnacentral:rRNA from 1 species
UUCGGUCAAGUUGAACGGAUGACUUAGUGGCGGACGGGUGAGUAACGCGUGAGGAACCUGCCUCAUACAGGGGGAUAACAGUUAGAAAUGACUGCUAAUACCGCAUAAGCGCACGGCAUCGCAUGAUGCAGUGUGAAAAACUCCGGUGGUAUAAGAUGGACCCGCGUCUGAUUAGCUAGUUGGUGAGGUAACGGCCCACCAAGGCGACGAUCCAUAGCCGACCUGAGAGGGUGACCGGCCACAUUGGGACUGAGACACGGCCCAAACUCC